GGCGCGGUUGUUGGCCCGGCGCGGCCAGUGCUACUGGGGGCGUCCCUCUCUGGCCCUCCCAGGGACAAGUGACUUGAUGGUAGAUUUUGCCAAGCCCCUCACAUGAUUCUAUGAAACUCAUGGGAGCGAGGAACAGCUGCUGCGCGGAGGUGGCAGUGUGUGUGCUAAAUCCCUUUAGUUCCUGCUCUGCUUUUCCUCCAGAAAGGGAUGAGCGUCUAACAGGGGCCCCGGUCUGAACCCGCCUGCCAAAGUGAGGUUUGCUCACAUCCAACCCCUGACAGCUCCAGGGUGCUGUUACUGCGAGCAGGGCACCGGCCCUCCGGCCCGAAGCAGGGCAGGGACAUGAGGGAGAACGCGCCCUGUCCCUCCCACCUCCUCCGGACUCGGCCCCUGGAGGGGCUGACGCUGGAAGACCUGACAUCGUCGCUUCUGAUGUUCAUGGCUUUUGACCCAUGUUCAGGUUUGAAAUCUCUUACCCAGUUUAAGAACGGGAUGAACUCUCCUCGUUUAAAGGAGAGAAUGAAGAACGCUGAACGCAAAUCUCCGUCCUUGUGCGCAUAAAUCUGAGGCGACAGGAAGAAUGUGGAGGCAAACCUGGCUCUUCUCAGUACUGCUGGAGCCACCCACCGCUCUGCCAUUCAGGAACUCUGCGCGGGUGCCAGGUGCCACGCGCGGUGCUGCCCCCGCACUCCCCUCGAGCUGUGCGAACUGUAGGAAGGAGAAGCUGGUGGGGUGGAGAGCAACAGGGAGAGACCCAUGUUCGGGGUCAGACGGGAGCAGCUGCAGGAAGUUCUGGGGGAGGGGAAGGGGGAUUAUGACCAGAUGGAAAUGAAAGGAAACGGGAGACUGUAUUAAUAAACUAGCAGCUUUAUUGCCCUUCAGGGGCCAUGUCUUCAC
rnacentral:lncRNA from 10 species